GUGAGGAAAGAUUUAUCGGUGAAAGAUGGAUCCGCGUCUGAUUAGCCAGUUGGCGGGGUAACGGCCCACCAAAGCGACGAUCAGUAGCCGGCCUGAGAGGGCGGACGGCCACAUUGGGACUGAGACACGGCCCAGACUCCUACGGGAGGCAGCAGUGGGGGAUAUUGCACAAUGGGCGCAAGCCUGAGGCAGCGACGCCGCGUGAGUGAAGAAGUAUUUCGGUAAGGGGAGCUCUAUCAGCAGGGAAGAAAGGCC
rnacentral:rRNA from 1 species